rfam:Echinostoma caproni strain Egypt genome assembly, scaffold: ECPE_scaffold0015342
GGCCUCGUAGCUCAGCAGGUAGAGCGUUCGCAUACAAAGGGUAGGCGAUGCCCUUGUGUGGGUUCGAAUCCCAUCGAGGCUA